CUGUGAAGCGCUUUGAGUGGAGUGCCCAGAAAAGCGCUAUACUGGGACCCCCAUGCGGCACCUGCUCAGGACUCGUCUGUUUGGACAGUGUCUGUGACCUCUUCGCUCUCAACUACAUCCCUCAGUAUCUCUGACAUAGUGUUGCCCUCAUGUUUUUUAUUCUCAGACUGGUAAUGGAACAUGCUGAUUGCUCUUUCUGUAAACAUGGAAUACAUACCGAAACAGUGUUUAUAUUACUGCUCCGUAUCUAUGCAAUCUGUUUUGGUACUUUGUUUCAUUUCGAGUGGCACUUGUGUUGCUCUUCCAGUUUGUGCUUGCCUUUUUAUCCCAUUAUUAGUCUCUAACUUCCUCGACCUAGAGGAUUAAUCCUUGUGCGUAAUGUACAUUUUCUAUAUUGCAAGGGCAUAUUGUAAUAAUAAACAACUGCGCUGUA